GUGUAGCUCAAUGUCAGAGUAUUUGCUUUGCAUGCAGAAGUUCCCCGGGUUCAACCCCUGUCAUCUCCA